rnacentral:rRNA from 1 species
GGACGGGUGAGUAACGCGUGAGUAACCUGCCUUCAAGAGGGGGAUAACAUUCUGAAAAGAAUGCUAAUACCGCAUGAUAUAUCGGAACCACAUGGUUCUGAUAUCAAAGAUUUUAUCGCUUGAAGAUGGACUCGCGUCCGAUUAGUUAGUUGGUGAGGUAACGGCUCACCAAGACCGCGAUCGGGAGCCGGACUGAGAGGUUGAACGGCCACAUUGGGACUGAGACACGGCCCAGACUCCUACGGGAGGCAGCAGUGGGGGAUAUUGCGCAAUGGGGGCAACCCUGACGCAGCAACGCCGCGUGAAGGAUGAAGGUUUUCGGAUUGUAAACUUCUUUUAUUAAGGACGAAAAUUGACGGUACUUAAUGAAUAAGCUCCGGCUAACUACGUGCCAGCAGCCGCGGUAAUACGUAGGGAGCAAGCGUUGUCCGGAUUUACUGGGUGUAAAGGGUGCGUAGGCGGCUUUGCAAGUCAGAUGUGAAAUCUAUGGGCUCAACCCAUAAACUGCAUUUGAAACUGUAGAGCUUGAGUGAAGUAGAGGCAGGCGGAAUUCCCCGUGCAGCGGUGAAAUGCGUA